UAACACGUAGGGACCAAGCGUUGUCCGGAUUUAUUGGGCGUAAAGCGCUCGUAGGCGGUUCGGUAAGUCGGGUGUGAAACCCCUGGGCUCAACCCGGGGACGCCACCCGAUACUGCUGUGACUCGAGUUCGGUAGGGGAGCGGGGAAUUCCUGGUGUAGCGGUGAAAUGCGCAGAUAUCAGGAGGAA
rnacentral:rRNA from 1 species